ACAAAGAAUCCGAUCUUUUCUUCAUUCAACGGCUCUCUGAAUUCUGCGUUUAUUAAUAUGCAACUGUUGUUCCUGAUGCUAAGGAUGAAGUGUGACUUAGAAAGUUGGGUCUGCACAUUUCUACUAUUCAUAGAUUGAUAUACUCUUUAAAUUUAAUUCGGUCUCCUAUAUAUGCGAAAUAUAAUUUUUCAGAUUAAGUGAGUAGUGAUUGUGUGAACCCA
rnacentral:lncRNA from 1 species